rnacentral:rRNA from 1 species
GACGAACGCUGGCGGCGUGCCUAAUACAUGCAAGUAGAACGCUGAAGAGAGGAGCUUGCUCUUCUUGGAUGAGUUGCGAACGGGUGAGUAACGCGUAGGUAACCUGCCUUGUAGCGGGGGAUAACUAUUGGAAACGAUAGCUAAUACCGCAUAACAAUGGAUGACACAUGUCAUUUAUUUGAAAGGGGCAAUUGCUCCACUACAAGAUGGACCUGCGUUGUAUUAGCUAGUAGGUGAGGUAACGGCUCACCUAGGCGACGAUACAUAGCCGACCUGAGAGGGUGAUCGGCCACACUGGGACUGAGACACGGCCCAGACUCCUACGGGAGGCAGCAGUAGGGAAUCUUCGGCAAUGGGGGCAACCCUGACCGAGCAACGCCGCGUGAGUGAAGAAGGUUUUCGGAUCGUAAAGCUCUGUUGUAAGUCAAGAACGAGUGUGAGAGUGGAAAGUUCACACUGUGACGGUAGCUUACCAGAAAGGGACGGCUAACUACGUGCCAGCAGCCGCGGUAAUACGUAGGUCCCGAGCGUUGUCCGGAUUUAUUGGGCGUAAAGCGAGCGCAGGCGGUUUGACAAGUCUGAAGUUAAAGGCUGUGGCUCAACCAUAGUUCGCUUUGGAAACUGUCAAACUUGAGUGCAGAAGGGGAGAGUGGAAUUCCAUGUGUAGCGGUGAAAUGCGUAGAUAUAUGGAGGAACACCGGUGGCGAAAGCGGCUCUCUGGUCUGUAACUGACGCUGAGGCUCGAAAGCGUGGGGGAGCGAACAGG